rnacentral:misc_RNA from 1 species
AAAAAGGGGGAAUCUCCAUCAUUCAUAUGAUUAUUACAGCUUACUACAAGCAGAGAACCCAACUCAAAAACUCUCCAUAAAUGCAAUAACUUGAGCUAUCAACAUUAAUCAACAUCAACGCACAUCCAAAAAUUGCUAGCACAACCAAUACAAAAACGUUUUAAAAACCUAAAUUUACUUUGUCGAUCUAAAGGGGAUGAAACAAAAAUUAAAUUAAAAUUGAAAUCAGAUGUGCUUCAGUAUUAAGUCCUCUUUCCUUCUACCAAGGUCAUGCCAAAGUGAAUCAGAGAAGAUUUCUUAAAAUUGGAGAAUUUUGUUAAAUCUGUUGAGAACUUCUGAAAUCUUCAUUCUAAUGGAGGGUGCCGAGAAAGAGAG